UACGUAGGGUGCAAGCGUGGCCCGGAUUUAUUGGGCGUAAAGGGUGCGUAGGCGGCGGAGUAAGUUGGGUGUGAAAUCCCGGGGCUCAACCUCGGAAUUGCAUUCAAUACUGCUUCGCUCGAGUACUGGAGAGGAGGCUGGAAUUUACGGUGUAGCAGUGAAAUGCGUAGAUAUCGUAAGGAAGGCCGGUGGCGAAAGCGAGCCUCUGGACAGUUACUGACGCUGAUGCACGAAGGCCAGGGGAGCAAACAGG
rnacentral:rRNA from 1 species